rnacentral:rRNA from 1 species
UACGUAGGGUGCGAGCGUUAAUCGGAAUUACUGGGCGUAAAGUGUGCGCAGGCGGCAGAGCAAGUCGAGUGUGAAAGCCCCGGGCUUAACUUGGGAAUUGCGCUCGAAACUACUUUGCUGGAGUGUGGCAGAGGAAGGUGGAAUUCCACGUGUAGCAGUGAAAUGCGUAGAGAUGUGGAGGAACACCAAUGGCGAAGGCAGCCUUCUGGGCCAACACUGACGCUCAUGCACGAAAGCGUGGGGAGCAAACAGG